rnacentral:rRNA from 1 species
CUACGGGCGGCAGCAGUGGGGAAUAUUGGACAAUGGGCGAAAGCCUGAUCCAGCCAUGCCGCGUGUGUGAAGAAGGCCUUCGGGUUGUAAAGCACUUUCAGUGGGGAAGAAAGCCUUGGGGCUAAUACCCUCGAGGAAGGACAUCACCCACAGAAGAAGCACCGGCUAACUCCGUGCCAGCAGCCGCGGUAAUACGGAGGGUGCGAGCGUUAAUCGGAAUUACUGGGCGUAAAGCGCGCGUAGGCGGUCUGAUAAGCCGGUUGUGAAAGCCCCGGGCUCAACCUGGGAACGGCAUCCGGAACUGUCAGGCUAGAGUGCAGGAGAGGAAGGUAGAAUUCCCGGUGUAGCGGUGAAAUGCGUAGAGAUCGGGAGGAAUACCAGUGGCGAAGGCGGCCUUCUGGACUGACACUGACGCUGAGGUGCGAAAGCGUGGGUAGCAAACAGGAUUAGAUACCCUGGUAGUC